AAUGAACGUUGGCGGCGUGGAUUAGGCAUGCAAGUCGAGCGAGAAUUUGCGAUUGGAAGCUUCGGCCGAAGAAAGUGAAGGAAAGCGGCAAACGGCGUAGUAAGGCGUAGGUACGUACCCUCGGGUCGGGAAUAGCCGUGGGAAACUGUGGGUAAUGCCCGAUAAUCUCUGCGGAGCAAAGGUGUGAUUCCGCCGGAGGAGCGGCUUACGUGAUAUUAGCUAGUUGGUGGGGUAAUGGCCUACCAAGGCAACGAUGUCUAGGGGGUGUGAGAGCAUGGCCCCCACGACCGGAACUGAGACACUGUCCGGACACCUACGGGUGGCUGCAGUCGAGAAUCUUCCGCAAUGGGCGAAAGCCUGACGGAGCGACGCCGCGUGGUGGAUGAAGGCCCUUGGGUUGUAAACACCUGUCAGAGGGGAUGAAAUCAUGGUUGGCAAUCCUUCCAUGUUGACAGAGCCUCAGAGGAAGCACGGGCUAAGUACGUGCCAGCAGCCGCGGUAAAG
rnacentral:rRNA from 1 species